rnacentral:piRNA from 1 species
AUGGCAUGGGUGGUUCAGUGGUAGAA